AUCGGGUCGGCUCCGGUGGAUGCAGCAGCUGGAUCCAAACAGAACCGUCUGCUUCUGAUCCAGACCGGACAGAACCGGGCCGGGGGACAUGUACGUCCUGUGCACCCUGACCGUCCUCAUGUUCCACAGCCUCCUCAGGAAGUGGGUCGGUACCGGGCCGGACAGAACCUCUGAGGCUGCAGGGGCAGAGAAGAAGGUUCUGGAGGAACCGCCAAUCUCUCGGUUGGCGGGCCGAGAGAUGACCGGAGGGACGGAGACGCUGUCCUCCACCAGGAGACGGGUCCAGCCGGUCCAGCGGUCCAGCGCUCUGCUCAGCCCGGCGGUCAUGUUUGGAACCAGACAGAGUUGGGACAUCGCUCACGCCCCCUGCCUGCAGGAGCUCUGGAAGAAAGACCUCUCAUUGGACGCCAGCUCAGUGGACUUCCUGAUGAGUGAUGGUGAAGACGACGGCUCCUUCCUGUCUCUGCCUGCCGCCUCCUUCUCACAGCGCCCCCCUCUGACCGCUGAGCUCAACACCAGCUCCUCCCACCAGCUGCUCAUCCAGAGAGUCUCCUGGUCCUGCUGCUGGACGUCUGUCAAUACUCUGCAGGACAAGGUGUGUGAGCUUCAGGCCCGGUUCUGCUCGGAAGAGGUUUCCUGCCAGCGGACGGGGGGCGGAGCUUGGACACAGGGGGAGGAGCCUCUGCUGGCCAAGCCUACAGGUGUGAAGCCGAAUCCGAACCUUUUCAGCCGACCCGAAGAGGAGCAGCUCGUCUCUCGGCUGCACACACAGGUGGCGGCGCUGGAGCAGAAGCUGCUGGAUCGGACUCAGGAGGUGGAGAGACUGCGCUCUGAACUGGGGGCAACAGACCUGGAGAAGCAGCUGGAGCGGCUGCUGGUGGAGAAUGAGCGUCUGAAACAGGAGCUGAAGUCACGCAGAAGCUCAGAGCUCCAGCCUGACGCCGCGGCGGACGGCUGCAGCUGCUGCAGGCAUGCUCAGGAGGCGGAGGCGCUGCGGCGGGAGGCGGCGUCCUGGGAGAACCGGGCGCGGCAGCGGGAGCAGCGGCUGGCCGAGCUGCAGCAGGAGCUGCAGGAGAGCAGCUGCAGGGCGGAGGCGCUGCAGCUGCAGCUGGACGACAGCAGGAGGCGCCGUAGCGAGGGAGAGCAAAAACUGCAUCUGCGACUGCAGGAGUGUGAGGAAGAACUGGCCAGACGGGCGGCGGCGCCCCCUAGAGUCAAGGUGGUGACCCAGACGGUGCAGGUGGAGUCGGCGGACUCGCAGAAGGCGCUGGUGGAGCUGCAGGUGAAGAACGAGUCGCUGCAGGAGCAGCUGUCGCUGCAGAGGCAGCUCCUGCGGGAGCUGGAGGCGCAGCUGCACGACUCGCAGCGCACCUGCACUCAGCUCCGGACUCAGCUGCACCUCUGUGGCCUUUUAAAAACGGCCGUCAGCAACGCAAAGAGCCGAUUGGAUCCCGGGUUGUCCAAGAUCCACGUCUACGAGGGGGAGAUGCAGCGGGCGCAGGGCCAGCUGGAGGCCGACAUGCAGAGCCUGGAGGAGGAGAAGAACCGCCUGAUCGAGGAGGCCUUCAUCCGGGCCGAGAGCGAGAUGAAGGCCGUCCAUGAGAACCUGGCAGGUGUGCGUCUGAACCUGCUGAGCCUGCAGCCAGCCCUGCGAACUUUGACCUCCGACUAUAACUGCCUGAAGAAGCAGGUCCAGGAUUUCCCCUCCAUGCUGGAGAAAGCAAUCAGUGAGGCCAAGCAGGAGAUCUGCCAGGUGAUCAGCGACGUCAGCAGCACCAACCAGGAUCUGCUCAGGAAGUACAAGAGGGAGAUGAACCUGAGGAAGAAAUGCCACAACGAGCUGGUCCGCCUCAAAGGUAACAUCCGGGUGUUCUGCCGGGUCCGACCCGUCAGCCAGGAGGAACUGGACUCGGCCGACGCCGGAACGGCGCUGAGCUUUGACUCGGACGACGACGCCGUCCUUUACCUGUCCUCCAGGGGAAAGGUCAUGACCUUUGAACUGGACAAGGUCUUCCCGCCGCAGGCCUCGCAGGAGGAGGUGUUCCAGGAAGUGCAGGCUCUGGUCACUUCCUGUAUCGAUGGCUUCAACGUCUGCAUCUUUGCGUACGGACAGACGGGAUCUGGGAAGACCUACACCAUGGAGGGUGUGACCUCUGACCCUGGCAUCAACCAGCGCGCGCUGCGCCUGCUGUUCGCCGAGGUGACGGAGAAAACUCUGGACUGGGAAUAUCGGAUCGUGGUCAGCCUGGUGGAGAUUUACAACGAGACGCUGCGCGACCUGCUCAGGCAGAAUCCCACAGACAAACUGGACAUCAAGCUGAACCCGGACGGCAGCGGGCAGCUCUACGUCCCCGGACUGACGGAGAUCGCGGUCCAGAGCCCUGAGGACAUCAACAGGGUGUUUGAGCUGGGCCAGGUGAACCGGGCCACGGCAUGCACCAACCUGAACGAACACAGCUCGCGCUCCCACGCGCUGCUCAUCAUCACUGUGUCUGGGUUCAACAGCACGACCGGAACCAGAACACAAGGGAAGCUGAACCUGGUGGACCUGGCUGGGUCGGAGCGGAUUGGGAAGUCCGGAGCAGAGGGCAGCCGGCUCCGGGAAGCGCAGUGCAUCAACAAAUCGCUGUCGGCGCUGGGUGAUGUCAUCAGUGCGCUGCGCAGCCGACACGCCCACGUCCCUUUCAGGAACUCGCGGCUCACCUACCUGCUGCAGGACUCUCUGAGCGGAGACAGCAAGACCCUGAUGAUGGUCCAGGUGUCUCCGUUGCCUGGCAACGUGAGCGAGUCGGUGUGUUCGCUGAAGUUUGCUCAGCGCGUUCGCAGCGUGGAGCUCAACUCUGCCGCUUCGUCCAAGAGACACGAGAACUCGUCCACGUCGUCCUCGCCCACGCACGACAGCCUAGAGCUGGACUCUCCGCCCGUCACGCCGGCGCCCCUCCCCAUCUCCCGGGCCAGCAGCGCCGGCUCUACGCUGUCCUCGGCCUCCAGGACGCCCAGCGGAUCCCGCAGGCGCUCCCAGUCGCAGCUGGCUGCAGCCUGCUGCGGGCUACCUGCAGUGCUUUGUGGGUAUUGCAGUGCAUUGUGGGAACUGAGCUGUGCCUCCUGGCUGCAGGUCGGAGCGGACCCAGAGACGGAGCGCCUCUGCUGUCCGUCUGCCCUUCUUCCUCUGUGUCUUCAUUCUGUGCUCUGAUUGGUUGGUUUCCAGACAGACAGGUAGACAGAGCCGGCCCGUUGCUAGGAGACGGCGGGCAGGACGACUGAAGCUGAACUGAACGCCUGAGAAACGCGGGACGUCCAGGGAGACGCCCGGGAUUUGGACUGAACCCGGCCGUCACCACAACAGACAGUACUUCUGUUUCUUGGACCGGACUUCACAGAACCGGACCAGAACUGCUGCUGGACUGUGAGGAGUUCUGACGUGACGUAGCAGACGAUGAAGAGCAGACUCUUCCUCCUGAACUGAACUGUUCCUCUCUAAAGAACUGAAUCCUCAGAAUUCCUUCUGUUUUUGCACUUUACUCUGAGGUUGUUUCCCAGCAGCGCCCCCGCAGGCCGCUGCCUGAACUGUUUUUAUUUAGUUGAACUUUGACCUGUAAAUGUUCUGAUCUGGUUGGAUCUCAUUUGGGUUUGGACUCUGGAGUGGUUCUGCUCCAGAGUCGGCCGGGAUCCAGUCCAUCUGUCUGAUUGUUUUCUAAAUGUUUUUAUUAAACUUCCUGAAACGUUCUGA